CUUCUCUUUUGGGGUGACUGCGGAAGGAUCAUUA
rnacentral:rRNA from 1 species